AUCCUACAGAAAAUGCAGUAUUAAUGCUAAAAGUGAUUUGUCCUGCAUCAUCACUAUGUUGUAUUCGUUUAAAAAAACGGCGCCAAGAAAAAAAGGACAUGCGCAUUGUUCUCCUGAGCCAGUUAACGUAGAGCUGGUACAUUGCUGUCUUCACUGGAGUGCUGCAAGCUCGAAGUGUGGCUGCAGCACUUCUCGCUCGUAACGUGAAACUUAAAAACACGCCAAGGAGUGGAUGCAAGUGAACUAUCAAUCUACUGAAACAGAAGCGGGAAAUGUAUUCGAAGACGAAAAUGCUCGCGCGACCUGUGCGUCAGACCCGGAUAAACGCACGCGAGCUGACAAAAUCCUGAGUAGCUGUUAUUCAACAUAAAUACAUUUCCGCACACAUGAAGAUGGAUGACGAUAGUUCAUCUUAAAAUUAAACUUAUGUUUAUCAGCUUACCCCCAGGCCAUCCAAGAGAUGCUCUUAAGAACAACGCCCUGAUGUCCAAGGUCAACCAGCAAGAAGCUGAGAAGGCACUGCCAAAAUGGUUUACUGGGGCAAGGGACAGAGGAGGACAGAGAGCAUCAAGAAGGCAGAAAAGGAUGUCUGUUUGAGAAAGGUUAAAACUACAGUUGUUGAUUUGAACUGUUGUAGUUCUUUAAUUUUUCUUAAAGGAAAACACAAUCAUUUUUCAAUAUUUACCAUGUUCUUCCCUCAACUUAGAUGAAUUAAUACAAACCUCUCUUUUCUCAAUGUGUGCACUUAAAGGUGGGGUGCACAAUUUCUAAAAAAAACGUUUUGGAAAAGGGAGACAGGCCGACUAUCAAAACACACUUGUAGCCAAUUAGCAGCAUGUCUACUAAAUGACAUCGUUGCCUGGGUUGCGUAUGUGUGGGGCGGGUCUAUCAAAAGAAGGUCCAGAUUCUAUUAGGGUAAGGGUGUGUUUGUUUAGAUGAUUUCAAAUAUCAACAUUGGCUUUCAUGCACCCUGCCUUUAUUUGUUGUAAAGUGUGGCGUGAAUGUGUUAGCAUUUAGCCAAGCACCAUUCAUUCAUUAGGAUCCAAACAGGGAUGAAUUUAAUAGCCACCAAACACUUCCAUGUUUUCCCUAUUCAAAGACUGUUACAUGAGUAGUUACACGAGGAAGUAUGGUAAAAAAUAUAACUAUAUUGUAUGGCGGAAGAGCACUUAGUUUGUAGCACUCGACCUUGGGCACAGUAACAUCAUCACUCCUGACUACUCCCCCUCUUGCUUAAACUACAGUCAACAUAACCAACACGCCUGUACUAAUGUUAGUACAUUGAGCAGACUCUGCGAAAUAUCAAGUUAAGUUUAAGUGUACGCAUUGAGAAAAGAGAGAUAUGUAUUUAUUCGGCUAAGUUGAUGGAAGAACAUAGUAAAAUAUUGAAAAACUGUGUUU